rnacentral:rRNA from 1 species
UACGAAGGGGGCUAGCGUUGCUCGGAAUCACUGGGCGUAAAGGGUGCGUAGGCGGGUCUUUAAGUCAGGGGUGAAAUCCUGGAGCUCAACUCCAGAACUGCCUUUGAUACUGAGGAUCUUGAGUUCGGGAGAGGUGAGUGGAACUGCGAGUGUAGAGGUGAAAUUCGUAGAUAUUGGGAGGAACACCAGUGGCGAAGGCGGCUCACUGGACCGGAACUGACGCUGAGGCGCGAAAGCGUGGGGAGCAAACAGG